rnacentral:lncRNA from 1 species
AUGGCAGAACCAGAGCAGAUAGAUGAGCCUGAUGAUGCACAAGUAGUCCAGUUUGAAGAGCCUCGUAGAAGUGAAAGAGACCGCACAUUAUCAGAAAAAGGAAAAGAAUUUCACAAGGAAAAGACUAAAGGGCUACUUCUACGCUUUGACAGCAUUUAUGACCGCUGGAAAGCUCUCAGCAAGGUUGCUAAAAGGUCUGUAAUAAAAGAGGACCCUAGCAACAUUCUAGAAGAACAUAUCAGCACUGUUCAAAGGGAGUUGUCAGAGCUGAAUAUUGUUUAUGAUGAAUAUCGGAGGAUUGACAGCCCAGAACAUGAAAUGCGCCGCAAGAUGGAUAAGUGUGUAUCUGUCACAGGGAUUGUGGUUCAGAAUGCCCAAUUUCAAAUGCAAGGAACAGCAGAGAAGAUUGUUUGGCCUGAUGCUGGUUCUGUAUUUGCGUCGUCUGUAUCAAGCGGCUCACAUUCAGCCUCUAAGUAUUCUAAAGCUAAUUCUGUUGUCUCUAAUGUAUCCUCAGCCAAAAGACAAGAAGCUGCAGCAGAAUAUGCAGCCACACAAGCUGUACUGAAGAUUAUGGCUGAACAAGAGGGUCACCAAGAGAAACUGCAAAGACUUGAGGUCGAGGACAAGCUGAUAGCUGCAGACCAAGAAGCAGCUGCAGUAUCUCGCCGUCUACAAGCAGAAAAGGAAGAAACUGAACGCAAAAUAGAAAGAGAGAGAAAAGAAGCUGCACUUUUAAAGCAACAAGAAGAAGAAAGUGCAGCAAGAAAAAGGUCAGUCAAAGACUUAAAAAGAGAACUUGAGCGUUUGGAGGAGCUGAAAAGACUGAACUCAGCCAGAGCAAAGCUUCAAGUUUAUGAUGAAGGUGAGAUGCUACACAAUACAGAACUAUCUACAGAUAUGCAAGCAACCAAUCAGAUGAAUCCUGUGUAUCAACACACACAAAGUGAUUCUGCUCCAAGACAUGUUGUUCAAGAUAAUUCAGGAGAGCUUGUCAAAGUUUUGGCUGAGGCCAUAUCAGCAAAUAGGCUACCUAUCCCAGAGCCUAUCAUCUUUAGCGGUGAUCCACUCAAGUUUAACCACUGGAAGUCAUCCUUCCAUACACUGAUUGAGAGGAAAAAUAUUCCAGCAGCAGAAAAAAUCUUCUUCCUUCAGAAAUAUGUAGGAGGAGCUGCUAAAGAGGCUUUAGAAGGAUAUUUUUUGACUGAUUCAGAAGACUCGUAUCACGCAGCAUGGGACUUGCUUAAUGAACGAUAUGGUGAGCCCUUUGUAAUUGCUAAAGCCCUCCGAGACAAACUACAUGCUUGGUCAAAAAUAGGCCCAAAGGAGAGUGCUGAACUGAGAAAGUUUGUGGAUUUUUUACGUAGCUGUAAAUCUGCCAUGACCCAUAAUGAGAGUUUAAAUGUUCUUAAUGAUGGAAUUGAGAAUCAGAAACUUACUGUCAAGCUACCUGACUGGCUAAGUACCAGAUGGAAUCGGAAAGCUACUCAGUAUCAGCUGGAACACAGAAGGUUCCCAAGCUUUGAUUAUUUUGUGACUUUCCUAAGCAUGGAAGCUAGCAUCGCAUGUAACCCUAUAACCUCUUACCAUGCUUUACAGCAGAGUGAAUCUGAGAGACUAAAAGUUAAGAACCAAACCACAGUUGUUUUCAAGAAUAGAACUGUUGGUGCAAAGAUCCUCACAACUAACACUAGUGAGAAGAGCAUAGUCACAUGUGUGUUUUGUCAGAAAACAGGACACAGCUUAUAUAAGUGCAGAAGAUUCAUUGAAAGGCCUGUUGCUGACAGAGUAAAGUUUAUUCAAGUCGAGAAAUUGUGUUUUGGAUGCUUAAGUCAUGGCCAUCAAUCCAAGAGCUGCAGUAAGCGAAUGGUGUGUGACAUCUGCUCAAAACGUCACCCUACAUGUCUUCAUGAAGAUCGCUUAAAACAAGAAUCAAAGAAAGAAAAUUCUGAAGCACAAAGUGUAACCAAAGAAAUCACAUCUAACAGAGUUGUACAAGACAGUAAUAAUACUCAGACUUCAACAAUUAUACCUGUUUAUGUAUCAACCUCAAGUGAUUCAAGCAAGGAAGUUCUCGUCUAUGCACUGCUUGAUUCACAAAGUGACUCGUCAUUCAUUCUUGAGGAUGUGGCAGUCGUUCUAGAUGUGAAUUCAGAGCAAGUUAAACUGAAACUCUCUACUAUGACAUCAAAGAAAACAGUAGUCACAUGUAAAAGACUGAAAGACCUACAAAUAAGAGGGCUAUUCUCCUCUAAGAAAAUCACAGUGCCAACAACUUACACUCGUGAAUUCAUUCCUGCUAAUCGCUCACACAUUCCAACGCCAGAGACUGCCAAGGCAUGGCCUCACCUGAUGCAUCUUGCAGAGCACAUUGCUCCACUAAUGGAAUGCGAGAUUGGCCUACUGAUCGGUUACAACUGCCCACAAGCUCUGAUGCCCAGAGAAGUUGUAAUUGGGGAAGAGAACCAACCAUUUGCUCAGAGAACUGAUUUAGGUUGGAGCAUAGUGAGUUAUGGUGAACAAAAAGAAAAUGAGAUUGAUGCAAUUGGUGUAAGUCACCGCAUCAUUGUAAGGCAGGUAAUACCAGCACACAAACCAACAGUCAAGCUCAAGGGUGAAGUUCACUAUGUUUGUAACACUUGCAUCAAAGAAGUGGUUACUCCAGAUGAUGUAAUCAAAGUGCUGGAAUCAGACUUCAGUGAGCGAGUGGGAGAAGAAGCAGUCGUCUCUCAGGAAGAUCUCCAGUUCUUGAACAAGCUGAAAGAUGGAAUCAAACAUAAACCGGAUGGUCAUUAUGAAAUGCCCUUACCCUUUAAACAAGACAAGCCAGACUUACCCAAUAACAUGCCAUGUGCUGUUCAUCGUUUGAAGUGUCUAGAACGAAAACUCAAGAGAGACAAACAAUACUGCAUGGAUUACAUUAACUUCAUGCAAGACAUCAUCACAUGUGGUGAUGCAGAAAAGGUCCCAGAAGAAGAACUCAACAAUCAUCCAGCCUGGUAUAUUCCCCACCAUGGGGUAUACCACCCUCAAAAGCCUGGGAAAAUUCGUGUAGUCUUCGAUUGCUCAGCGAGGUUCCAGGACACAUCAUUGAAUGAUCACCUUCUUACUGGACCAGAUCUAACAAACAGCCUGGUGGGUGUCCUUUGCAGAUUCAAUAAGGGCCCUGUUGCUGUUAUUUGCGAUGUUGAACGAAUGUUUCAUCAGUUCCAUGUGAGACCUGAGGACCAAGACUACUUGAGGUUCUUAUGGUGGGAGAAUGGUGAUCUUGAGUCUCCACCAUCAGUUUUUCGGAUGAGAGUUCAUCUCUUUGGGGCAGCCUCUUCACCUGGGUGUGCCAAUUUUGGUCUGAAACACAUAGCUCUUGAAGGUCAAGACCAGGUUAGUCAAGACACUGUGAAAUUUGUUCAGCAGAAUUUUUAUGUGGAUGAUGGGCUUGUUAGUGUGAUGUCUGACUCAGAGGCUAUCCAGCUUGUCGAAGAAGCUAGGAAGCUUUGCAGUGUAGGCAAGUUGAGGCUACACAAGUUCAUCUCCAACAGUGACAAAGUGUUAAAGUCGAUACCCAAGGAAGAGUGUGCAGAAAGCGUGAAAAACCUGGAUAUGGCUUUGGGAGAGCCACUGAUGGAACGUGCACUCGACGUGCAGUGGUGCGUCUUCUCUGAUGAUUUUCAUUUCAGAGUUACUGUCAAGGAACGCCCACUGACCAGAAGAGGCGUGUUAUCCACUGUAGCUUCCAUCUAUGACCCAUUAGGGUUUGUUGCACCAUUCAUCCUCCGUGGAAAACUGCUUUUACAACAAAUGUGUCGAGUUGACUGGGAUGAGCCACUCCCUGAAGAGCUCAGAUCACAGUGGGAGUUAUGGCUACAAGAUCUUCAGAAUUUAUCUAGUGUAAAAAUUAGGAGAUGUUACAUUCCAGAAAGGUUCACAGAUGUUGAGAAGUACGAACUCCAUCACUUUUCCGACGCCAGUGUCAAAGGUUAUGGUGAGUGUAGUUAUCUCAGAGCAGUUAGUGCUGAUGGAGAGGUUCAUUGCUCGCUAGUGAUGGCGAAAGCGCGGGUUGCCCCCACCAAAGUAACUACUAUACCGCGCCUUGAGUUGUCUGCAGCGGUGGUAGCAGCAAAGAUGAGUGUCAUGCUCAGAAAUGAGCUUGAUAUAGAUGGUCUUCAAGAAUAUUUCUGGACAGACUCCAAGGUCGUUCUUGGAUAUAUAAACAAUGAUGCCAAAAGGUUUCAAGUGUUUGUCGCAAACAGAAUCCAAAGAAUUAAGUCCAUCACUGAUGCUGAGCAAUGGCAGUAUGUGAAAUCUGAAGAUAACCCGGCAGAUCACGCUUCAAGGGGCCUGAUGGCACAUCAGCUUGUCAGUUCAAAUUGGCUCACUGGCCCAGAAUUUCUAUGGAAACAGGACCUACCUGCAGGAAAUAUUAAGGUGGGAGAAAUCCAAGAUGAUGAUCCAGAGCUACGGAAAGUUCAGGUUCUAAACACAAAAGCAAAGGAAGAGAAGACUUUGCUUGAUUGUUUAUCAAAGUUUUCUGACUGGAGAAGAGCUGUGAAAGCCAUCGCCUGUCUUAAAAGAUAUGUACAGCAAAGAAAGGGUCUCAAAGCUAAGACUAAUGAAACCACAAACAUUGAAGAAAGACAGGAAGCGGAGCUUUUCAUUAUUAAACUGGUCCAAGAGGAAGCAUUCAACUCUGAGAUCAAAGGUAUAAAGCAAUGCAAGGAAGUAAGACCUAAGGAUAAAACAAACAACUUACACAAGCUAAGUCCAUUCUUGGAUGAGCAUGGUGUGCUCAGGGUAGGAGGACGUUUGACAAGGUCUAGUCUUCACCCACAUGUCAAGCAUCCUGUCAUUUUGCCUAAGACAAGCCAUGUAUCUUCUUUACUUAUCAAGCAUUACCACCAAAAGGUGCAUCAUCAAGGAAGAGGCAUAACUGUAAAUGAACUAAGAUCGAGUGGAAUAUGGAUCAUAGGCUGCAAUAGUGCAGUUGCCUCACACAUCCACAAAUGUAUGAUGUGCAGAAAGUACAGAAGAAACACACAAGAUCCAAAGAUGGCAGAUUUGCCAGAAGACAGGAUGGAAAGUACUCCUCCAUUUACAUAUUGUGGCCUAGAUUGCUUUGGACCAUUCUACAUGAAGGAAGCAAGAAAAGAACUCAAGAAAUAUGGUCUCCUUUUUACAUGUAUGUGUUCAAGAGCCGUACAUAUAGAAAUGUUGGAUGAUCUUACCACAGAUGCUUUCAUCAAUGUUCAGACUUUUGAGUCUUGGCCCUCCGAAAAGGCCCACAGGAAGCACACGGAAGUAAUAACUCGUGGUUAUUUAUGA